AAGGGCACCACAAGAACGCGUGGAGCAUGUGGCUUAAUUUGACUCAACGCGGGAAAUCUUACCGGGUCCGGACACACUGAGGAUUGACAGGUAAUAUCAUAUAUACAUACGUUCGCGCGUGUGUGUAUGUGUAUAAAUAUGCUAGUCCUUUCAUGAUUAUGUGAUAGGUGGUGCAUGGCCGUUCUUAGUUCGUGGAGUGAUCUGUCUGCUUAAUUGCGUUUCACUAUUGGGUCUAUUUAUACGUAUACGUAUAUCGCUUUAAAUAUUUUGACCCUAUCUCUCUCACGAGAGAUACGCGUGUCUUAUAUAUUUUUUAUAUAGCAUACACUAUACAUUAGACCCUGAAAGCAACGAACGUGACCGCAACCUCUUGUUGCUUUCUCCCACACAUAUAUAUAUUAUUAUAUACGCGCUUCGGCACGUGUGUAGUGUAUGUAUAUUAAGAAAGCCUCGUAUAUAUAAAUCUCUACCAUCUCUCACGAGAUAUCAGAGACGCGUAUAUAAAACUAGAGGGACCGCUGUUAUCUUCUUAAACCAGAGGAAGGUUGCGGCAAUAACAGGUCUGUGAUGCCCUUAGAUGUUCCGGGCUGCACACGUGCUACAAUGAUUAUUGCAGUGAGCAUCUCAUUUUUUUACUCACAUCGCAUGCGUGAGUAAUUUUCUCAUAUAUUCUCGGAUAUAUCGAGUCUUUCUCUCUACGCGCGAUUAAGCCUACUUCGAAAGUAAGCGGGUAAUCAAUUAGAAGUAAUGAUUUCCUAUUUUUCCUGCACAACUAUAUAUGGCGUAUAUACCCGAUAUAGCCUUGUUGCUAUAUUCUGUGUGUAUGUAUGACUUUUUUCCAUAUGUGCAAUUGUCAAUUCAUGGUGGGGACAGACCAUUGUUUCAAUUGUUGGUCUCGGUCUUAACUAGGAAUGCCUUGUACGGGUCUUUGGUUCAACAAACCACCCGGAAUACGUCCCUGCCCUUUGUACACACCGCCCGUCGCUCUUACCGAUGGACUUCUCUGUGAGUUUGAGGGACUGCCUGUGAAACUCGCGUAUCAUAUUAGGAAACUUAAAAAAACAGUGUGGUCUAAAGGAAAGAGAAGUCGAACAAGGC
rnacentral:rRNA from 1 species